UGCCAGCAGCCGCGGUAAUACGGAGGGAGCUAGCGUUGUUCGGAAUUACUGGGCGUAAAGCGUGCGUAGGCGGGUCGACAAGUUGGGGGUGAAAUCCCGGGGCUUAACCCCGGAACUGCCCUCAAAACUGUCGAUCUAGAGACCGGGAGAGGUAAGCGGAAUUCCUAGUGUAGAGGUGAAAUUCGUAGAUAUUAGGAAGAACACCAGUGGCGAAGGCGGCUCACUGGACCGGUACUGACGCUGAGGUACGCAAGCGUGGGGAGCGAACAGGACUAGAUA
rnacentral:rRNA from 1 species